GACACAGUGGCUAAGUGGUUAGCAUAAUGUUUGCCUCACACCUACAGGGUUGAGGGUUCAAAUCCCACCUCUGCCG